rnacentral:lncRNA from 1 species
ACAAUGGUCUCGCCCGGGGGGGUGAGGCGAGCCGCCGCCGGAGCCCGGCAGCUGAUCAGCUGGGCGCCGGGCGUGCCACUUUGUUCAGCUCCUCAAAGGAAGAGGACGGGGCCGUGGGCAGAGCCGAGACCGCGGGGCUGUCACUCGACGACAGGCCUCGGUGGCUUUCGUAUCCUUCGGGACUUUUAAGGUCUGAGGGAAACUUAACCUUCCCCCGCCCCGUGAAGAAGGGGAAAGCACGCUGCUGAGUACUCUGGGGCACGUUGCCUCCCCCGAAACGGGAGUGGUACGCCCCAAGCGAGGAUGGGGGAGGAGCAGACUAGUUGUUUAAGGGUAAGUUGGGCCGGUCCCGGAGCGGCGGCCGAGCAUCGCGCAUGCGCCCGGAGACCCCGUAAGCCGGACCGGGGAGGGGCUCGGAGGAGCGUUUCCAAACCCGGAAGUGGGGCUCGGUCUUCUUGGGGCCGUCGGGGUCUUCAGCUAGCCGAGAGGUCUCCUACACCCAAGCUCACUCUUCCUGUUCCACCUGGAGAACUGGUCUCCCUUUG